ACUGAGAGGGCCUCUCCAUGUCCACCCUCAUAGAUCUGGCAAGAAACCCGGGUCUUGAGGAACAGCUGGAAGCUGGAUCUGACCAGACAAGCUGAGCAGAAAGGACCUGCAGAAGCCAGGUCACCAGGCUCCGCAAGACCAGCUUAUGCCUCUCCCCACAGCCCCACCACGCACAGCGGGGAGAAACGGCUGGAAGACCAGGCCCAGAGGCCUCGGAACAAGCAGCCUCCAGAUGGUAACCUGGCUGCUGGGACCCAGCCCCUGCCCACUGCUCCCCGCAGACUCCCGGAUGGGAACCUGGCUGCUGGGACCCAGCCCCUGCCCACUGCUCCCCGCAGACUCCCGGAUGGGAACCUGGCUGCUGGGACCC